CGGCACUCCAGACACACCAGGGACACGCACAGCAGGCUGACUGAAGCUAUCGCGAGCGUGAGGUUACGCUCUCCUGCCGAAAGUGUUGAUGGGAAGUGUAGGCUGUUCACGGAACUGACUCGGAAAGAUUGGUGGCAUAUUCUGGGGCACGUCACAGAAAACAACACAAGCAAGAAAUUCAACCUGGCAGUGCACCUCAGUAUCCAGGACACACUGCCAACAAUACCCUCACUGUGGGGCUGACCUUGACAGCGAGGUAUUAAGGUAUAAAGAUUGUGUUUUUGUGAUCAUCUUACACUGAAGAUUUUUUCCAGGAAGAGUUUUUCAUUGUGGUGAUGGAUAUUGCUUUGACUCAUUAAAACAUAUAAAAUGCACUCUGCAAAGCAGGAGAACAUUUUUUCCUUCUUUAAACAAAUCACCAGCCCACUCCUUCCAUCUCUGCUUCUUUCAGUCCCUGUUGGUGCGAAUUCGCUCAUAAUCAAUACCUUUCAAAGCUAAACCAAUCUGCAAUAAUAAAAGCAAUAAUAAAAGCAUUACAAAAAGAGGAAAAAAAAAAACGAUGUUAAAUCCUAUUAAACAUAGAAGAUGGUUUCUUCCCAUCCUUGUCUUCUUGUUUAUCGUUGUCUAGGUGAUGAAACAGCUUUGUAGGACUGAUCUCCAACAUUUGCAUGAUCUCCAAAUCUUCUGGAUCUAUCAACAGGCUAAGGAUCAGGGCCUACAUAGUGGGUUACAGGUAGAGCUUGCAGCUUAGUAUUGUUCUCAGCAUUCCAUCCAGCCAUGCAUAUUUCACACAAUUGUCUUUUAUAUUCAGUGUGUGGCUCAGUGCAGCACUCAUCUUUAUUUCAUUUUGUGGUGUUCUUCUUUUUUUUUUAAUUUUAGCUGAGUUUCCUUUUUUUUUCAUUGCACACACAGCCUGCAACUCCUUUCCUCCGUCCUUCCUGACAACCCCCUCUGCCAACAGAAUCAGUAAUAAAAUUAAGCAUCUUGCACUCUGAAGCUUUCAGCGAACAAACGCGAACUUCUGGCAAUUAGAUUUACUCUGACUGCACCAAGCCUGGGAAAGGGUGGAACCAACAUUGUGGAUAUUCACGAGAGCAUUUUGCUUUUCUCAAUUCUUUGUAUUAGCUCUGUCACUGUAAUGCACAGCAGCUAAUGAGGGUUUGUUUGAAAUGAAAAUGACUUUUUAGUCGUCCUCAUACACUGGACUAUGAAUGGCUUCAUUAAAAAAAACACACUCAGGAUGAGGAUAUUUAACUCAAACAUACCAGAAACAAACAGAAAUGACAUAAAUGUGUCUCUUACAGUAAAACAAAACAACAAAAAGCAACAUUUUAGAGUAGAAAACAUGCAUUAAAAAAACUUAAGCAAAGAAAAAAAUGAAUGAAAUGCAGUUGUUUAGUUAAUUUAAAAAUGCAACAAACAAUAAUAAACAAAUACAUGAAACAAAAACUGUGUUCUCUUCCUCCAAAUCUGAGAUUAUAGAAGCCAGAGGAAACUUUCAUUUCCUCCUUCAACUGCAGACAUUGACCUGUCUCGUACAAUUCUGCAAUUAUAGCCUAUUCCUG